UGCCCUCUGUGCAUUCUACUUUUAACUGCCCUAAUAAUAAUAAAGUUCUUGGGAGUUAUAAGAAGCAUCUUCCUAGGUAAAUUCAUGAACAGUUUAACCUUAUUGAAUAUCUUUUGAUUUCUCUUUUCUGUAUUCCUUUUUAGACUUCAUUUGUGUCUUGUAUUUGAGAGUCAUUCAGCUCCAGUCUUUUCAUCAGGAAUGUUUGAAAGCCCUCUAUUUUAUUGAAGACCCAUUUUUUCCCCUGAAUGGUUAUGCUCAAUUCUACUAGGUUCCAGGGAUUUUAGGGCCAUGAAGGGAAGCCACAUCCCCCUUGUCUUCCAUAGAACAAUUCUCAAAUUACCCUGAUAUAACAUUGUCCAUGCAGUGAGGAUGCUGGCCAAAAAGGGUCCUGUCCUAGGAAUGUGCACGUUUGCUCAGGCUGCUCCUGGAGGACAAGCUCCUGCUCCAAGGACAGCAGCGGAGGACAGAGGAGGCCACAGGGGACCAGGUACAGUAUCUGCUCUGUCCUGCUUUGCAGGCUGGGGAGAUUGGCUGGGUUUG
rnacentral:lncRNA from 1 species